AUUAAAAAAUAAAAAACAAAAUAAAAUUGGGGUGAUACAGAAGAUUAGCAUGGUCCCUGCAUAACAUGCAGAUUCAUGAAGCAUUCCAUAUUUUU
rnacentral:snRNA from 2 species